CUGGAGAGUUUGUAGCUUAACAUUGCCUCCUGCCACUGUUAGACCCACAGUUAGACUUCUUCGUAGUGUUAAAGCUGGAGACUUGGGGCUGCAUGCUCACUAGGCAAGCAUUCUACCAAGUGAAAUGUAUCUACAGCAUGGUGGUGCCUUUUGUGUUGAGGAUUUCUAAAACUGUAGUCAUUGGAUAACCGUGCUGGUCCUGGGCACUCUGUGAAGUGGAGUGAAGCCCAUCUCCAUCUGAGACAAUUAUCUUUGACGUCUGGAGCUGGAGUCCAUCUUUGCUCAAGAGGACUAGCCCAUCCUGGAGGAAUUUUAAGUGUUCUGCUGGAUACGACUUGUACCAACACAUGUUUAUUUCCACAGUGCACCUGUUCCUCUGGCGGUGGGAUCUCUCCGCUCAAGCCAGCCUCAAGCACAGCCUAAGCACAGCCCCACGCCUCCUCCUUCAAAAGAGCAAAAAUAGCCGGCAUGUACUAACAGCUUAUCAAGAGCCCCAAACUAUCCCAAGCGUUUUUAUGUACAUUAUCUCAUCUCAUCCCCACAGCAGCUUGGUAAAAUAGCCAGAAGAGAAGCUUGAGGCUCAGAGAGACAAAGCCACUUGCUCGACGUCACGCUGUGAUGAUGCAGAGCAAGAAGGAAGCCUAGCAAUCUAAGUCCGGGGUCUGAGUUCCUGCUUCAAGAUGGCGACGGUUAUUUGUGUGGUUUGAAGGAGUUGAGGGCAUAUGGAUGAAAUCAGGUCUUUAUAACGGCCAAGGCCUUGAUCAAUUCUCUAUUACUGUCUUUCUGCAUCUGUGAGGGGGCACACCAUGCUAGGUUGUCUUCAACACCAACUACACAUUGGCAUUUCCAUAAGGGGAUAUGAUAGAACAUAAUGUGCUAUAGAACCUUAAAUCUAUGACAUCACCUGUAUGACGUGUUUACCCGCACACAUCCAUUCAUGUCUACGUAUCAUUCAUAUGUAUAUGUUCAUGUACAUAUAUAUAUAUACACAUGAAAUGUAUAUAUCCAUGUGAAUGUAUAUACAUAUGAAGAAAAUUAAUUAAAUUUCAUUCAGGGAUAUAUGAAACCAGACGUAAACGUUGUCUUUGAAGGGGGCAACUUCCUGAUAAGACAGGAUGCUCCUGACUGCACGCUGCAAGUCCUCUGGGAAUUUGUGUGUGUAUGCAUGUAUGUGUGUGCACAUUUCCACGAGAUUAAUUCUUUUUCUUGCUACUCACAGCACCGUCCUCACAAAUCCUAGGAUUCACAGCAGGAAUGCAGCCCGGAACUUCUGCUAUGUAAGCAGCUGUAGAUGCUUCGAAUACCACUGGACAUGUGAUCCUGGGCUCACUAUAAAUUUACCCCUAAAAAUAAAGCCACAAGUGACCGAAUGGCACUAAGAAUUCGUCACUGCAAUGCGUGAAUGGAAUGUGCCAGGCUCUACCUCAAAAUUCCCUUUAUUAAAAGAUGGUUAUAAUUAAAACCCGAAAGAAAUACGUGAAGAUGCUGUGUUGGAGUCAAUGUGCUGGACUUUUGUGAAAAGAAUGCUAUUGUUAUUUUAAAGGAGAGAUAGAGAAAGGACUUCUAUAGCAUUGGAAAUAGGGUGGCAUUAUUACAUCACCGAGGACUGCAUCCUAUAAAGGAAUUUCAACUGGACUCAAACUUGGUACUCCAGGAGAGUUUUGAAGACCGAGAGGCUCUUGGUUAAGCUGUUUGCCAUGGAGAGAAAAAAAAAAUCAUGUCUAAAAUUUACAUCACAGCUUGUGGCAGAGAUUAGCUUGGCGAUUCACAACUGUGAAUAACCUCGCGAGAGUGUCGUGCAUCUCAUGCUUCCAAAAGUCGGUGACAAAUAUGAAACUCGUGAAAAAGCGAAAACCCAACAUAAGGGGAGAAAGUGGGAAUCCUGAAGGCUGUAACUUGUGUGGGACCAGCCCUUUCUUCUAUGUCUGGAGCAUGGGGUUCAAGUCCAGGGACCACUUUCCCUGUAACAGUCUAACAUGAACAAAAGAGGGAAGAGUGUGGAAGAGAGGAAGAGAUGGAAAGGGAGAGGGAGAUGGGAAGAGGGAGACUGAGGAGAGUGACAGAAUGAAGACAAAAGAGAAGGAAGAAGAAAGAAAAAAAGAGGGAAAAUAAACACUAACCAGCACUUCUAAAAGUGCCAAGCAGCUCUUAAAGGCUUCCAUGGUGCUGUUUGGGAAGGAGAAGAGGGCCAGUAGGAGGAGGAUGGAGAAAAGGGAGGGAAAUUGGAAGA